rnacentral:lncRNA from 1 species
AAAGUUAAAAGCUCUAUCUUCCGAAGCGAAAUUGGGGGUUAAGAAGAAUAGAGGCGGAAGAAUGCAUCACCUGCACCUGCUUUCUUCCUCAUUCACCAUCCAAAACCCUAGAUUAUGCCCUAAUCACUCCCUUUCCUCGCUCCACUCCUCCUCACCCUUGAGCUUCACUUCACGAACUCCUCUUCUGCUUUCCACAACCAGGCACUUCCGUAAAAAGCGCUCAUUGCAAUGUCGCCAGUCGGAUUACUUUCAACAGCAG